rnacentral:tRNA from 58 species
GGUGAGGUGUCCGAGAGGCUGAAGGAGCACGCCUGGAAAGUGUGUAUACGGCAACGUAUCGAGGGUUCGAAUCCCUCCCUCACCGCCA